AGAUCCAAUUUUCUGCCACCGAAUACAUUAGCAUGGGAUAAUGGAAUAGGACCCUGUCCUCCUAUUUUCAGUUGGUUUUGGCAGCGCGAGGACUAGGGUAAUGAUUAAUAGGGAUAGUUGGGGGCAUUAAUAUUUUAAUGCAUUKGUGAAAUUCUUGGAUUUAUGAAAGAUUAACUUCUGCGAAAKCWUYUGCCAAGGAUGUUUUCAUUAAUCAAGAACGAAAGUUAGGGGAUCGAAGACRAUCAGAUACCGUCGUAGUCUUAACCAUAAACGAUGCCGACCAGCGAUUAGGAGACGUUGAAUACAAAACACCACCAUCGGUGCGGUCGUCCUUGGCGCGUUGGUCUUCAAAAGCCAGCGCGCGGGGGCGGCUUASCCCGGUGGCACCGGUGAAWUGACUCCCCCUAGCAGCUUGUGAGAA
rnacentral:rRNA from 1 species